rfam:Triticum aestivum genome assembly, contig: Triticum_aestivum_CS42_TGACv1_scaffold_641572_T_4BL-0.096614_6AS-0.064061
AAAAUACUCCCUCCGUCCCAAAAUUCUUGUCUUAGAUUCCUCUAGACACGGAUGUAUCUAAUACUAAAACGUGACUUGAUAAAUCUAUAUUUAGACAAAUCUAAGACAAGAAUUUUGGGACAGAGGGAGUAUGUG